GAUGAACGCUGACGGCGUGCUUAACACAUGCAAGUCGAACGGAAAGGCCCAAGCUUGCUUGGGUACUCGAGUGGCGAACGGGUGAGUAACACGUGGGUGAUCUGCCCUGCACUUCGGGAUAAGCCUGGGAAACUGGGUCUAAUACCGGAUAGGACGAUGGUUUGGAUGCCAUUGUGGAAAGUUUUUUCGGUGUGGGAUGAGCUCGCGGCCUAUCAGCUUGUUGGUGGGGUAAUGGCCUACCAAGGCGUCGACGGGUAGCCGGCCUGAGAGGGUGUACGGCCACAUUGGGACUGAGAGACGGGCCAGACUCCUACGGGAGGCAGCAGUGGGGAAUAUUGCACAAUGGGCGCAAGCCUGAUGCAGCGACGCCGCGUGGGGGAUGACGGCCUUCGGGUUGUAAACUCCUUUCGCUAGGGACGAAGCGUUUUUGUGACGGUACCUGGAGAAGAAGCACCGGCUAACUACGUG
rnacentral:rRNA from 1 species